AUUGAACGCUGGCGGCAUGCCUUACACAUGCAAGUCGAACGGUAACAGGUUAAGCUGACGAGUGGCGAACGGGUGAGUAAUACAUCGGAACGUGCCCAGUAGUGGGGGAUAGCCCGGCGAAAGCCGGAUUAAUACCGCAUACGACCUACGGGUGAAAGGGGGGGAUCGCAAGACCUCUCGCUAUUGGAGCGGCCGAUGUCAGAUUAGGUAGUUGGUGGGGUAAAAGCCUACCAAGCCGACGAUCUGUAGCUGGUCUGAGAGGACGACCAGCCACGCUGGGACUGAGAGACGGCCCAGACUCCUACGGGGGGCAGCAGUGGGGAAUUUUGGACAAUGGGCGCAAGCCUGAUCCAGCCAUGCCGCGUGCGGGAAGAAGGCCUUCGGGUUGUAAACCGCUUUUGUCAGGGAAGAAACGCUCUGGGUUAAUACCCUGGGGUAAUGACGGUACCUGAAGAAUAAGCACCGGCUAACUACGUGCCAGCCGCCGCGGUAA
rnacentral:rRNA from 1 species